GGAAGGAUCAUUAAUAGGGGUGUACAGACUUUUCAGGUCUAUGCUAGGAUUUGAAAGUCAUACAUAUGCCCUCCAGCUAGAAAUAUGCAAUAUACUUGUACUAGCUGGGUGCAACACACAUAAACAGUGUAAAACCAUGAUUAUCAUUUACUUUUGUAAAGUCAAUACAACCAAAAACUCUUAACAAUGGAUCUCUUGGCUCCUGCAUCGAUGAAGAACGCAGCAAAGUGCGAAAAGUAAUGCGACACGCAGCAGCUGUGAGACAUCAAGUAUUUGAACGCAAAUGGCAUUAAUAUUGAGAGAUAUUGAUAUGAGCGAUAGAGGGUUGUGGAUAUCGUCACCGAUGGUUAGCGGUGGACUUGUCCCAGGUGAUGGGAUGAAAUUGAUGGGGGGAUGUGAUGGUGUUUGUGACUAUUCUCCUAAAGACAAAAGCGAGGGAUUCUGUCUCUUCUGUUUAGGGGGAUAAUCAGUCAGGGGGGAGGGGAGGAGGAUGGAUGGUGGAUGGUGGUAGUAUCGUUUACUGUCAGUAUCGUUUACUGUCAGCAUUCUACUGCAAGUAUUCUACUGUCACUGUCCAUCCCACCCACCCACCACCCAACACACCUCAAUCCCAUCCAAUGGGGGGAUGAAUUUGGAGAGUCUGGGAAUAAAUAGUAUUCUCAGGAAUAUAUCCAUUUAUUCCUUGGCUCUCUUCACUUUUCCUUUGAACCAAGGAACCAAGGAACCAAGGAACCAAGGAACCAAACCAAACCUCUGUUGCUCAGGACUACCCGCUGAACUUAAGCAUAUCAGUAAGCGGAGGAAAAGAAACUAACAAGGAUUCCCUCAGUAACGGCGAGUGAAGCGGGACCAGCUCAAAUUUGAAAUCAGGAGCAAUCUUGAAUUGUAGUCUAAAGGGUAUUGUGCUACUUCAAACAGUUCAGUGCUCAAGUGUCCUGGAAUGGACCACCACAGAGGGUGACAGUCCCGUUGGGUGCUGGACCUUUGAAUAAAAACAAUACACAAAGAGUCGGGUUGCUUGGGAAUGCAGCCCAAAAGGGGUGGUAAACUCCAUCCAAGGCUAAAUAGCGGCAGGAGACCGAUAGCGAACAAGUACCGUGAGGGAAAGAUGAAAAGCACCUUGAAAAGGGAGUGAAACAGCGCGUGAAAUUGUUAAAAGGGAAACGAAUGGUUGGUGGGGGUGUUGUGAUUGGGGUAGGUGGGGGGAGUGGUGUUGUGUGAGGAGGGAUUCACAUUCACCCAUGCAAUGUCAGCUGUCUCCCUGUCAACCAACACAACGUCGAGGGUGCUUUGGGGGAGUGUUGAAGCAUGUGGGGCAUUGACUAUCUUUUGAUAAUCAUCCCCACGGGGAUGCACUACCCUUGAGUGAUAUAUUGUGGGGAAAGGAGAGGGAGGGGAUGAUUUGUGAAUGUAGAGUGUAUGACUGCUUGCAGACACAUGCCCAACAUUCAGAAACAACCCCACCCACUCCUCCUCCAGCCUCGAUCAUCCCAGCCAUACGACCCGUCUUGAAACACGGACCAAGGAGUCUAACAUGCGUGCGAGUGUUUGGGUGGCAAGCCCGAGCGCGUAAUGAAAGUGGAGAGUGGGAACGAGGGGGGAUAAGUGGUAGUAUGCUAUGCGAUGGUAUAGUAAAAUGUACUACAUACACAUCCCCCACCCUCGUGCACCAUGAGCAUGUGGGGGACAAGCCCCCACACGCUGUAGCACACACGUUGGGACCCGAAAGAUGGUGAACUAUGCCUGGACAGGAUGAAGCCAGAGGAAACCCUGGUGGAGGUCCGCCGCCGUUCUGACGUGCAAAUCGAUGGCCGGAUCUGGGCAUAGGGGCGAAAGACUAAUCGAACCAUCUAGUAGCUGGUUCCCUC
rnacentral:misc_RNA from 1 species